CAGUGCAACAGAGAGCAAACCGCCGAUGGCCCGCGCAAGCGGGAUCAGGUAAGGGUGAAAGGGUGCGGUAAGAGCGCACCGCGCGGCUGGUAACAGUCCGUGGCACGGUAAACUCCACCCGGAGCAAGGCCAAAUAGGGGUUCAUAAGGUACGGCCCGUACUGAACCCGGGUAGGCUGCUUGAGCCAGUGAGCGAUUGCUGGCCUAGAUGAAUGACUGUCCACGACAGAACCCGGCUUAUCGGUCAGUUUCACCU
rnacentral:RNase_P_RNA from 1 species